AGAGUUUGAUCCUGGCUCAGGACGAACGCUGGCGGCGUGCCUAAUACAUGCAAGUCGAGCGAAGUUAAGGGAGCUUGCUCCCAAGACUUAGCGGCGGACGGGUGAGUAACACGUGGGUAACCUACCUGUAAGACCGGGAUAACUCCGGGAAACCGGAGCUAAUACCAGAUAAUCAACUGAGUUGCAUAACAAAGUUGUGAAAGAUGGCGCAAGCUAUCACUUACAGAUGGGCCCGCGG
rnacentral:rRNA from 1 species